rnacentral:rRNA from 1 species
AUUGAACGCUGGCGGCAGGCCUAACACAUGCAAGUCGAACGAGUGGCGGACGGGUGAGUAAUGUCUGGGACCCUGCCCGAUGGCGGGGGAUACCUACUGGAACCGGUAGCUAAUACCGCAUACCAUCGGAUUUGCCCAGGUGGGAUUAGCUAGUAGGUGGGGUAACGGCUCACCUAGGCGACGAUCCCUAGCUGGUCUGAGAGGAUGACCAGCCACACUGGAACUGAGACACGGUCCAGACUCCUACGGGAGGCAGCAGUGGGGAAUAUUGCACAAUGGGCGCAAGCCUGAUGGAGCCAUGCCGCGUGUAUGAAGAAGGCCUUCGGGUUGUAAAGUUCUUUCAGCGGGGAGGCGGUACUCGCAGAAGAAGCACCGGCUAACUCCGUGCCAGCAGCCGCGGUAAUUC